AUGGUGUGCAAUUUUUGUAAUUACUUUAAUGAAAAAACAUCUUUUAAUCGUUUCUCGUGUAGAUUGAUGGGAGACUCCAAGCUUUCAGUGAAAAAUAAAUCCAAGGUUGAAGGUUUAAUAUGCACUGACUACUUGUAUCGUGAAACUACUUAUUUUUGCUCUCACUUUUUCAAGACCUUUAGCUUGUUGCCAAGUACAAGUUUAAGGAACGAUCCUCGAUCGGAUCAUGAGAAUGUCCAACCAACACUUCAAUUUUUAGCAAAUGUGGUCGUCCUAGUGGAAAGCCUUGAAACUAUUGGGUGCUUGAUAAGGAAUGGAAAUCUGCUCACACGCAUGUCCUAA